GGGGCUGUAGCAUAAUGGUAUUGCGUGAGACUCCAGAUCUCAAGGUUGGGAGUUCGAAUCUCUUCGGCCUCACAA
rnacentral:tRNA from 1 species